ACUUCGAGUUUCCUCUAUUUGCAACUCAUUCAAAUGCUGAUCACUAUGAUGAAUGUAAUAUGGUUUGUGCUGUUUAUCAUUUAGUGAUAAAGGAACAUGUCUUCAUAUUUAAAUUGCACUAUAACAAAAUAGGGGGCCAGUGUUAGACACAGCAGGAUUACAGGAAUGGUGGUGAUCUAUGGAUUCAAGAAAAAAUUGUUAUAGAGAGUACAUAAACAAACAAUCUUGGAUGAAUCAAGGUCAGAAUUCAGGAUUGGAAUACCAUCCUUAAAGCUGGUUGGUAGGGCUCCUUUCUCCUUUUCAUUUUUCUUGAUUUUUUUUUUUCCAGCAAUGAUACUAACCAUUCUUUUAUAGAAAUUCUCUAUGGGCAUUCAGCUUGGCUGGUUACGGCAAGAGUUGCAGGAUGAGGUGGAUUAACUGUAGUUAAUAUUCUAAGGCCAGAUCGGAAUACUUAAUCUUUGCUCAAGCUGAAGAGGACGUUGGAAUCAAACUUGAUGCCUUCUUGGGCAACCGAUACACCUUUUUGCUUACCCACACUAUUAAUGCUUCUAGUUUUCUCAUGCUAUUUCAUUUCUUGUGCAGCCAGACGUUUCACUACAUAACUUUUACAAUGAUAAUGAUGACUGCAAAAUAAGACUCGUGCAGCUUAGGUAAUGAGUGGGCAGUUUACUUAUAAACUGCUGCUAUAUAUAACAGCAUACUUUGAAAAUACUUAUGCAGUUUAUACCCCUCAUAUAAAUCUGGUUUUAAUUGCUGUUCAGUUCAUAGUGUGACUCAACAAUUAAAGUAUAUGUUUCGGCUAAACUAAAAGUCUGAAUAGAUAUCAAGAAGACAAGAAGCAACAGUGUCGCUCUCGCGUUUUAGGUGGAAAUACUUCAAUAUGGAUCUCGAGGUGGAAAUGUGGGUAUUGCUUGAUUUUCCCACUGCACAAGGAAUGGACACAAAUCAUUUCAGAGAGCACAAUCAAGAACAGAGUAGGUAAGGGAAAGCGAGGCAAAGCUUAUCAAUCUGUGAAGUAGAGUACAAGAAUCGAUGUAUGUCGAUAGGAGCUUUAGUUUGUAGACAUAAAUGCAUUAUUUUUCCAGAAUUACAGUCGUUAUUAUGCAACAGUACUCAGAUAUUUUCA